GCCUAACACAUGCAAGUCGAGCGGUAGAGAGAAGCUUGCUUCUCUUGAGAGCGGCGGACGGGUGAGUAAUGCCUAGGAAUCUGCCUGGUAGUGGGGGAUAACGUUCGGAAACGGACGCUAAUACCGCAUACGUCCUACGGGAGAAAGCAGGGGACCUUCGGGCCUUGCGCUAUCAGAUGAGCCUAGGUCGGAUUAGCUAGUUGGUGGGGUAAUGGCUCACCAAGGCGACGAUCCGUAACUGGUCUGAGAGGAUGAUCAGUCACACUGGAACUGAGACACGGUCCAGACUCCUACGGGAGGCAGCAGUGGGGAAUAUUGGACAAUGGGCGAAAGCCUGAUCCAGCCAUGCCGCGUGUGUGAAGAAGGUCUUCGGAUUGUAAAGCACUUUAAGUUGGGAGGAAGGGCCAUUACCUAAUACGUGAUGGUUUUGACGUUACCGACAGAAUAAGCACCGGCUAACUCUGUGCCAGCAGCCGCGGUAAUACAGAGGGUGCAAGCGUUAAUCGGAAUUACUGGGCGUAAAGCGCGCGUAGGUGGUUUGUUAAGUUGGAUGUGAAAUCCCCGGGCUCAACCUGGGAACUGCAUUCAAAACUGACUGACUAGAGUAUGGUAGAGGGUGGUGGAAUUUCCUGUGUAGCGGUGAAAUGCGUAGAUAUAGGAAGGAACACCAGUGGCGAAGGCGACCACCUGGACUGAUACUGACACUGAGGUGCGAAAGCGUGGGGAGCAAACAGGAUUAGAUACCCUGGUAGUCCACGCCGUAAACGAUGUCAACUAGCCGUUGGGAGCCUUGAGCUCUUAGUGGCGCAGCUAACGCAUUAAGUUGACCGCCUGGGGAGUACGGCCGCAAGGUUAAAACUCAAAUGAAUUGACGGGGGCCCGCACAAGCGGUGGAACAUGU
rnacentral:rRNA from 1 species